AUGGCCUUUCCUCUGCGCCUCUUCCUCCUGCUCCUCCUGGCAGUGGCCCUGCCUGACAGGGCUGCCCAGGCUUCUCCACAGCGAGCACAGGGAGCAGAUUGGAAUCAUCACAUGGAUUACCUGGAAGUAAUGAAUGAUGGCUUGAAAUUCUUGGAGGAUGUUGGAGCCAAGCCUCUCGGUGAAGGUGAUGCAGCUUCCCAACCCACACCCAGGACUGAGGCUCUGGGAGAUGGUGAGGUUACAGGUGUGUCUGCAGGGAGGACUUUGCCAGCUCCUGGGAUGGUUACUGCACACAAGCCCAGCUCCCAUCACAGGGGUCUUCCAAGAGAGAAAACCCAAAAUACAGCAGAAGAGAAAUCCCUGAAACAAUCUGAAAUUAUACGGCAAAUGCUGAAGGAAAUGCUGCAGGGAGGGCAAGGAAUGAAACGAGAGCCUGUGCAGCAGGAAACAUUCCCUGAAGGAAUCAUUGAUUCUGUGCCUAACUCUGCUGCAGGAAGGGAGGCCAUGCCAGGCACAGUAACACAAGAUAAGUCUCGGGGCAAAGCUUCUCCAAUAGCUUGGCUGCAUAAAGUUGUGAAGCCCUCUGCGCCUCCUGCAGUUACAGGUAUGUCUGCAAGGAGGAUUGUCCCAGCUACAGGGUUGGUUACUGCACCCACGACUGGCUCCCAUCACAGUGGUCCUCCAAGAGAGAAAACCCAAAAUACAGCAGAAGAUAAAGCCCUGAAACGUUCUGAACUUAUAUGGCAAAUGCUGAAGGAAAUGCUGCAGGGAGGGCAAGAAAUGAAACGAGAGCCUGUGCAGCAGGAAACAAUUACUGAAGGAAUCAUUGAUUCUGUGCCAGCCUCUGCUGCAGGAAGGGAGGCCAUGCCAGGCACAGUAACAAAAGAUGAGGUUCCUGGCAAAGCUUCUCCAUUAGCUUGGCUGCAUAAAGUUUUGAAGUCCUCUGCGCCUCCUGCAGGUGUGUCUGCAGAGAGGACUUUCUCAGCUCCUUUGCUGAUUGGUGUGCAGAAGCCCCACUUCCAUCGCAGGGGUGAGUAG
rnacentral:lncRNA from 1 species